rnacentral:tRNA from 1 species
GGCUUGAUAGCUCAACUGGUCGAGCACUGCUCCGGUAUCGCAGAGGUCAUGGGUUCGAAUCCCGUUCAACCCU